rnacentral:rRNA from 1 species
AGAUUGAACGCUGGCGGCACGCCUUACACAUGCAAGUCGAACGGCAGCACGGGAGCAAUCCUGGUGGCGAGUGGCGAACGGGUGAGUAAUACAUCGGAACGUGCCCAAUCGUGGGGGAUAACGCAGCGAAAGCUGUGCUAAUACCGCAUAAGAUCUACGGAUGAAAGCAGGGGAUCGCAAGACCUUGCGCGAAGUGG